AGCUCCAAUAGCGUAUAUUAAAGUUGUUGCAGUUAAAAAGCUCGUAGUUGGAUCUCAGGUGCUGGCGGAUGGUCCCUUUAACGAGGGUUACUGUCCGCUCCGGCCCUACCCGCCAGUGUGUCAAGGGUGCUCUUGACUGAGUGCCCCUGGCGGCUGGAACGUUUACUUUGAAAAAAUUAGAGUGUUCAAGGCAGGCGCUUCGCCUGAAUAAUGGUGCAUGGAAUAAUGGAAUAGGACCUCGGUUCUAUUUUGUUGGUUUUCGGAACUUGAGGUAAUGAUUAAGAGGGACGGACGGGGGCAUUCGUAUUACGGUGUUAGAGGUGAAAUUCUUAGAUCGCCGUAAGACGGACUGCUGCGAAAGCGUUUGCCAAGCACGUUUUCAUUAAUCAAGAACGAAAGU
rnacentral:rRNA from 1 species